rnacentral:rRNA from 1 species
GACGAACGCUGGCGGCGUGCUUAACACAUGCAAGUCGAACGAAGAGCGAUGGAAGCUUGCUUCUAUCAAUCUUAGUGGCGAACGGGUGAGUAACGCGUAAUCAACCUGCCCUUCAGAGGGGGACAACAGUUGGAAACGACUGCUAAUACCGCAUACGAUCUAAUCUCGGCAUCGAGGAUAGAUGAAAGGUGGCCUCUACAUGUAAGCUAUCACUGAAGGAGGGGAUUGCGUCUGAUUAGCUAGUUGGAGGGGUAACGGCCCACCAAGGCGAUGAUCAGUAGCCGGUCUGAGAGGAUGAACGGCCACAUUGGGACUGAGACACGGCCCAGACUCCUACGGGAGGCAGCAGUGGGGAAUCUUCCGCAAUGGACGAAAGUCUGACGGAGCAACGCCGCGUGAGUGAUGACGGCCUUCGGGUUGUAAAGCUCUGUUAAAUCGGGACGAAAGGCCUUUCUGCGA